rnacentral:rRNA from 1 species
UUUUAUGGAGAGUUUGAUCCUGGCUCAGGAUGAACGCUGGCGGCGUGCCUAAUACAUGCAAGUCGAGCGAACGGACGAGAAGCUUGCUUUUCUGAUGUUAGCGGCGGACGGGUGAGUAACACGUGGAUAACCUACCUAUAAGACUGGGAUAACUUCGGGAAACCGGAGCUAAUACCGGAUAAUAUUUUGAACC